rnacentral:rRNA from 1 species
UACGGGGGGGGGCAAGCGUUGUUCGGAAUUACUGGGCGUAAAGGGCGCGUAGGCGGCCUUCUAAGUCGAACGUGAAAUCCCUGGGCUCAACCCAGGAACUGCGUCCGAUACUGGAAGGCUUGAAUCCGGGAGAGGGAUGCGGAAUUCCAGGUGUAGCGGUGAAAUGCGUAGAUAUCUGGAGGAACACCGGUGGCGAAGGCGGCAUCCUGGACCGGCAUUGACGCUGAGGCGCGAAAGCCAGGGGAGCAAACGGG